UUCACAUAACAACAAUGUGUGUGACAGCAACUGUGAAAAACGUGGAGAGAUGAGAGACUGACAUGCAGAAGGUGCUGCACACACACUGUGUGCGUGUCCAGCCAAACCUGGAACGACAACAAAUCAGUGCUGGGGGCAUGACAGAACUGGACGGUGAACCGACGCUCUUUGAAGCUGCAGCCUGCAGCAGAACGGGAACAAGGCACUACCUUCGGAACAUCUCAAAUUCCUCGUCACACUAAAUAAUGAAUUAAUAUCAGUGAAUGAGACCGCUGAACACUUUACCUCACUCCCUCCCCUCCUCCCUGAAAUCUCUCUGCUAGAGGAGCCAAUCAGAGCCCCGCAUCCUUUCCACCACUCCCCUAGGCCCCUCCUCCUCCUCUCUGUGAUUAUAUAGUCUAUGGACAUCGGCAUCACAACACACACACGCACUCACCGUGCUGCUGCUGCAAGCAGCUCGGGAGACGAGGCUAUUUUAAAAAAAAAAAAAAAAACCCAUUCAUGGACACUGAAAAUACGAGGCACAUGCUGGCAAGUGUUGAGAGCAACAACGGCAGCACCCUUCCUGGCAUUGACAGCCCCAGAAGCAGCUUUAGAGAAACCCCCUAUAGCGUCAUAAGCACCAAUACCAAUCACUGGACGCACACUGAGAGGACUGCCGCCGCCAGCCUUUCUUGCAUCGUUAUCCAAGGAGAGCAGCUCCAGGAUGGGCUGCUCCUCGGGCCGCCAGCCCCCGGCCCCAGUCCUUCAUCCGGACCUGGACUGCGGCAACAACAGCGAGGCCAACACUUUACCCCAAGACUUUGAAAACCAGGGUUUGAAUGGGCUUGGAGAGGGAGGAGAAGAGGAGAGGAGAGUUGGAAGAGAACCAGCCAAACCUCCGGAGUCUCUCCCCACGCUGGAGCGACUCGCUCAGGCUACAGGCGGGACAGAGAAGUCCUGGUAUCGCUGCGUGUUUCCAUUCGGUGUGAUAUCACUAGUGAUUGGCAUGGCGGGCACCGGAGUGACAUUCAACUUUAACACACUGCUCCAGACCAAAGUGGUGUCGGUGGCGUUGCUGUGCACUGGCAUACUGAUGCUGCUCGUGGCAGCCGUUUGCUGGAGGGCCCACAGACUGAGGAGAAAGAAAAAGAAGGAAGGUGGAUUCUUCACCGCUGAUCAGGGCACUUUGUGAUGGUGGGUGGACUGACAGUCAGAUCCUUGUUAGCACUUCAAGUUGGACUUUUUGAAUGAGAAGGACAAACUGAACAAGUAGACUUAGGGACAUCAGUGCUUUUCUGCUCUGCACAAGGGCAGAGGGUAGAAGAGCUUGAUAAUACUGGAAACAUUAUUGAGCCAGGGAAACUUUAUGAUAUGAGUCAGUAUUCAGAAAAUGCCAGUUUAGCAAAAGCAUCAUCGCACAUCCCGAGCAGAUAGACAGGGUAAAGUAUGCGUCACACCAACAACUCCCCCUCUCCUCUCUUGUUCCAUCCUGUUAUGGAUUUACCUGGGGAUCCAGCGGAGCACAGAGCCCAGAGCACAUUAUAGAUCAUUGCUCCAAGAAUGGCCUCUUUGUGUCAAGGAAAUGUAUGAGAGAUAGGUACCUCAGGAAUAGUUAUUAAACACCUCCUGAUCCUAUAUCUGCGGCUCAACAGCGCUCAGUCACCCUAAAGAGGUGUGUGUGCGCCUGUCAGGAAGAUCUGGAUCAGCCUGUUUUAGAAGUGAUCAAAGCAACACUCAACAGUGUUUGUGCUUGCGCAUGCUAGUUUAAGUGUGCAGUUGGUUUAUAGAGGGACAAUAGUUCUGUUCUUCCAGGGGAUCUGUAAUUGAAAGAGAAGCGCACGACCACAAGUAUAAAACCUAGCCUGUCUGGAGGUAAAUGAAACAUGAUUUCCCCUCCUUACAAAACCACUGUUGAGGUGCCCUUUUGCACGUACGCCACUUAGUCUCCGACUGCUCCAGUGCGGCUGCUUAUUAGGCAAAAGUACAAGCAGCAGUGAGAGGUUGUAUCUGGAGAGGAAGUGGGGAAUCAGGCAAAAAGAGUUAACAUGCUGAAGAAUUUUUUUUUUUUUUUUUUUUCCCCAGGGUGACUAAUCCUGUACACAUGCAGCCACUAUUCCUCAUGUUUCUGUCUCCAGUCCAAUUGAGUGUUAUCAUGUACAAAGGUCAACCCUUUUCCUUCCCGAUAGUUUUCCUUCCUCUUCGUGUUGGGUAACCACAAUCCAGCUGUGCCAGAUCAAUAGAAAUCAGCACUCUGUGAAGUAUUAAGCUUUUGGAGGUAAUGGUCUGCAUUUGCAGGACCUGCAGAUGAAAUUGCUUUCUCCCAUCACUUCUAGAUGACUUGUGCAUUGUAUGACAGGAAAAUCCCAUUACAGACAUGCCUGAGUGAACACAGACCAACAAAGACAAAGUGAAUAAAGCCCCUCAUCCUUGCCCACCUGAUUCCUCUGAUCCUCGCCUCCUGCUGAAGUAAACAGAGGCGACACCAUUGGACAUUUAGGUCUGAGCAGUGGGGAAAAAUCAAUUCUUCCUUUCUUUGUACCCUGCAUUCUCCAGCUCUGCGAGGAAGGAUUUACACUAUUGUUCACACAGGCGACCAGAUGUGAGAAAUGGACAUUAAGUUAACUUCUCCCUGGGCGCAGUCUUAACCAGGUUUAACCUGUCAUUCCUCAUAGAUCAAGUUAGUUCUCUUCCCUCUUAGUUGAGGAGCCAAAAUGUAGCAUUAAGUUAGCCACAUUAGCUAUAGCAGUGUGUGGUGUUUAGCAGCAGGCGAUGUGAUUCUAAGGAAGACCCAGCAGCUUCUUGUCAGCUGUAGCGACGUUCUCGUGUCUGACUGAUGAUCGGUCUAAUUUUUUGUGUAUGGAGUUACUACAGUUUCCAUGUGGAGCAGCAGCUGUAGAAGUGUGUGUAUGAGUGUGUAUGUGUGGGUACGCACACACCAAAGCUACACUUAAUCUUUUUUUUUUUUUUCCCGUUUGGUUUGCCUCACAACACCUGAGAUGAUCUGAGGUAAUCCCUUUCAGUAUUGAUGUGUUCAUUUGUGUGCGCACAGAUUUAUUCUGAAAUACUGAGUAUUCUUCUAAGUGACAUAUCAAAAAUACUGUGUCCAACUAAGAGUGUAGCCACAUUUCUGAAUGUACCUCCAACAGUGAGUGUCUUACAAACAUCCUUCAGUGAACUGUAAAUUAUUUAUUAAUCUUCUGUUUUGUCUAGACAGCAAAUUUAGACAUAGCCUAACAUGUGCGUCAGUUUUACACAGUUGCCUACACUAUUGUUUCUCUGGUUGUAAUGAUUUCAAGUGUGUAGCAGUGAGUUUAAAUUGUAAUCGUUUCACAUUUUUGACCAGUAAAUUUCCGAAUGUACUUUUUUUUUUUUUAAUCCAAACUUGAUAAAUAUCCACGGUUUUGGAAUGAAACUGUUCAGUUGCUUUUAAGUGAUUGUUGUCAAUUUGCUUUGAGUCCAUUGGCAUGGCCCAGCUUUUCUCUGAGUGCCUUUUACUUGCAACAUCAGUAUUUCUUGGUAAAGGUGCGGUUCAUGUAAGCUGAGGAGGCCAGUAUUAGAGCGAACUAGAAAGGGGCAGAAAUAUUUCUGUUCACUGCUGUUGCGAGUGUUUGGUGUGCAUGAAGUUACCUUAAGUCACAGUUUGAGACAGUUCCUUAAGUAAAUACCCAGAAAUACCAAAUAUAUAUAUUUAUCAAGAAGCUUUUUUUGUCUCUCUUAAAUGUGUGUAAGAUUGUACUUUUUUUUUUUGUUGUUGUUUACAAUAAUCUGAAAAAGCGCUGGAUUAAAUGCAAAAAUAGA